GCACAGGGCUGUGACCGCAUCCUCUUUCCAGGCUGAGUCGCUGUGGCGUCCCCAGCUCUUGACAUCAGGCGUGACUGUGAGCCCGGAAAGGUGCUGUCGGUUAAUAUCAUCUCUUUGAAGAAUGGAGACAUGACUCGUGGCAUGGAGAGUGGACCCCACCUGGGGAGGUGAUUCCGAUGCCCGGAAAGCACACUCUGCUGACUGGCACGCAGCUCACAGUCCCGGGAGGCAGUUAGCUCAGAGAUGGCAGUGAGGAGCAGAGAAGAGGAUCCUUGAACAAACAGACAUCUGCUUCCAUCUGCAGCCAGAGUUAGUUUGCAACGGUUGUGAUUUUUUUUGUUUGUUUCUUGUUUCCCUUCUAGCCUUAUUACAGUUUGAUUUGCAAAUAAAAGUUGUGUAUAUUUAAGCA